rnacentral:rRNA from 1 species
GAUGAACGCUGGCGGCGUGCUUAACACAUGCAAGUCGAACGAUGAAGCCCAGCUUGCUGGGUGGAUUAGUGGCGAACGGGUGAGUAACACGUGAGUAACCUGCCCUUAACUUUGGGAUAAGCCUGGGAAACUGGGUCUAAUACCGGAUAGGAGCGCCUACCGCAAGGAGGGGGUUGGAAAGGUUUAUCGGUUUUGGAUGGGCUCGCGGCCGAUCAGCUUGGUGGAGAGGUAGAGGCUCACCAAGGCGGCGACGCGUAGCUGGUCUGAGAGGGUGACCGGCCACGCUGGGACUGAGACACGGCCGAGAAACCUGCGGGAGGCAGCAGUGGGUGAGGUUCCGCAAUGGGCGGAAGCCUGACGGAGCAAUACCGCGUGAGGGGAGAAGGCGCUUGUGUUGUAAACCGCUUCUCUUAGGGAAGAACAAAAUGACGGUACCUAAGGAAACAGCAUCGGCUAACUCCGUG